rnacentral:rRNA from 1 species
UUAGAGUUUGAUCCUGGCUCAGGACGAACGCUGGCGGCGUGCUUAACACAUGCAAGUCGAACGGAAAGGCCCUGCUUUUGUGGGGUGCUCGAGUGGCGAACGGGUGAGUAACACGUGAGUAACCUGCCCUUGACUUUGGGAUAACUUCAGGAAACUGGGGCUAAUACCGGAUAGGAGCUCCUGCUGCAUGGUGGGGGUUGGAAAGUUUCGGCGGUUGGGGAUGGACUCGCGGCUUAUCAGCUUGUUGGUGGGGUAGUGGCUUACCAAGGCUUUGACGGGUAGCCGGCCUGAGAGGGUGACCGGCCACAUUGGGACUGAGAUACGGCCCAGACUCCUACGGGAGGCAGCAGUGGGGAAUAUUGCACAAUGGGCGGAAGCCUGAUGCAGCAACGCCGCGUGCGGGAUGACGGCCUUCGGGUUGUAAACCGCUUUCGCCUGUGACGAAGCGUGAGUGACGGUAAUGGGUAAAGAAGCACCGGCUAACUACGUGCCAGCAGCCGCGGUGAUACGUAGGGUGCGAGCGUUGUCCGGAUUUAUUGGGCGUAAAGGGCUCGUAGGUGGUUGAUCGCGUCGGAAGUGUAAUCUUGGGGC